rnacentral:rRNA from 1 species
GAUCCUGGCUCAGAUUGAACGCUGGCGGCAUGCUUUACACAUGCAAGUCGAACGGCAGCAUGGAGAGCUUGCUCUCUGAUGGCGAGUGGCGAACGGGUGAGUAAUACAUCGGAACGUGUCCUGUUGUGGGGGAUAACUACUCGAAAGAGUAGCUAAUACCGCAUAAGACCUAAGGGUGAAAGCGUGGGGACCUUCGGCCUCGCGCAGCUGGAGCGGCCGAUG